CAGCGCUUUGUGUUAAACCCAUAGCACUGCAGCCAACAGCUCUGUUUAAAUUCCAACGCGUUAAACUGACAGCGCUUUGUUUAAACCU